AUGGCGACCGGCGCACGGGUGAGUAACACGUAUCCAACCUGCCGAUGACUCGGGGAUAGCCUUUCGAAAGAAAGAUUAAUACCCGAUGGCAUAGUUCUUCCGCAUGGUAGAACUAUUAAAGAAUUUCGGUCAUCGAUGGGGAUGCGUUCCAUUAGGUUGUUGGCGGGGUAACGGCCCACCAAGGCGACGAUGCGUAGCCGACCUGAGAGGGUGACCGGCCACACUGGGACUGAGACACGGCCCAGACUCCUACGGGAGGCAGCAUG
rnacentral:rRNA from 1 species